rnacentral:lncRNA from 1 species
GCAGAACUGGUAAAGAUGUUAUGUUGGGGCAAUUGCCGAUUUCAAGACUCUCCAGACUGGAGAGAACUUUUAGAUUUCCUGGCAGGGACUCCAUUUUGCAUUCCCAAAAGUACAGGUGCUUGACAGAUAAGAGAUUUACAGAUUCUCCAAAUGAAGCUGACGGCUCCUUGCAAUCAAGAAGAGCAAGAUAUGGUGGGACUAUAAACCCUUCAGCCUUGAGCAUCUGGUUGAGCAGUACGAAACUACUAACGGUGAGCCAUUUCUGGACACGAAACUGUGAGAUGCACUUGGCAGUGAGGUUUGGAACAUCUCCCAAACUUAGUUCAUCAAGUUGCCAGGAAGACAAGCGUUCAAGAGAGCACAGAUCGGGGAGACCACAUAGAUCUAAUGAUUCAAGGGAGGUCAGGUGGCCAAUCGACAAGGAUGGGGAGCUUCUGCAAUAUCCAAUGCAAAGAGAUUUCAGGUGUGGCAAGCCAUUAAUGAACGAAUCGGCUGCAAGAAUGCAGCCUGUUAUGUUGAGGUGUCCAGCAAGGUUGAAUGACAUAAAUUCUGCUCCACGUGCCAGAUCUAAAGAAGGGCAAUCAAUACAAUAAAGUCUGGAAAGAGAUGGAGCAGCACGUAAGCCCCCCAGUGAUCUGAGACACCAACAACCUCUUACCGUCAACGAGUCAAGCUUUAUCAAAUGCUCAAACACCUCUUCUGACGGAAGUGCAGAUAAUGCCAUAUUAUAUUCCAUUAUUAACGUUGUCAAUGAAGUGAGGCCACCAAGGCAAAUAGCUAAAGCUUCAUCUGUAAUACUGCAUGAAGAAAGAACAAGACCAACAAGUCCAAAUGGUAGAACCAGUGGCAGCUCCAUGGUCCUUCCAUAAAUGACUCUUAUCCUCUGCUCAUGGCAAAAAAGCCAUGCCUUGAUCAUAUUUUCUUUGUCUGAUAUAUAUCUCCUCCUUCCUCUAGGCCACUUUCAAUAAUUUGAAGAUGUUGUGAUAUAUCAUCACCCAUCUGCGUUGUCAACUGCUUCAGGGAUGAAUAGUCCUCUACAAGUACUUCCGUAAUAUUAAAUCCUGAAUUGACCUCCCACAUCGAUGCAAGUUUAGAUGCCAGGUCCUCUGUCUUCAUUAUAUUUCCCCUCAGACCAUGCUGGUCGAGCUCAUUUUUGGAGACAAACAUAAGCAGUGGGCACGUCUGAAUUGACAAUUUUGUAAGCAUUGCUGGAAGACAAGGUAAUAUUUUCAAUUUUGGAACAUUUUCUAGCGGAUGUGUGAAAUCUGCAACGGAUUGGCAAUUUUCAAUUUUGACAAUUUUGGAAUAUUUUCCACCUGCCUCGCAAGUCCCAACUGUGGACUGUGCACAGUCGCCAAACAGAGAACCGAGGGGACAGCAUCUGCAACGGAUUGGCUUCUGACUUGAACUGGGUGGCGAGUCAGUGUCGUGUUGUGCUUGUGCCAGGGUGACCUUGAGGUCGAGGUGCCUGUUUACAACAUGAAAUGUUUUUAAAAUAUAAAAUAUUGGAAACCUUAUUCAUUGUGCUGGAUAAUGAAUCAGCAGAACCUAUACCUCCUCAUUUCGUUGAAGAUCAUUCAUAGAAGUGCUUCCAGCGGAUGUGUGAAAUCUGUGGCCAGCUUUCUCCAUCAGGCUCUCGGCAGUUCUUCUUCAAGUCGUCACAACCAUAUAUACUUAUACGCUGGAGGGAGGAUGGCAGAACUGGUAAAGAUGUUAUGUUGGGGCAAAUGCCGAUAUCAAGCCUCUCCAGACUGGAGAGAAAUUGUAGAUUUCCUGGCAGGGACUCCAUUUUGCAUCGCCAAAAGUACAGGUGCUUGACAGAUAAGAGAUUUGCACAUUCUCCAAAUGAAGCUGACGCCUCCUUGCAAUAACGAAGAAUAAGGUUCAGUGGGACUAUAAACCCUUCAGUCUUGAGCAUCUGGUUGAGCAGUACGAAACUACUAACGCUGAGCCGUUUCUGGACACGAAACUGUGAGAUGCACUUGGCAGUGAGGUUUGGAACAUCUAUCAAACUUAGCUUUUCAAGUUGCCAGGAAGACAAGCCUUCGAGAGUGCACAGAUCGGGGAGACCACGUAGAGAUAAUGAUUCAAGAGAGGUCAGGUGGCCAAUCGAUAAGCAUGGGGAGCUUCUGCAACAGUAAAUGCAAAGAUAUUUCAGGUGUGGCAAACCAUUAAUGAAUGAAUCAGCUGCAAGAAUGCAGCCACGUAUGUAGAGGUCUCCAGCAAGGUUGAAUGACAUAAAUUCUGCUCCAUGUGCCAGAUCUAAAGAAGGGCAAUUAAUACAAUGAAGUCUGGAAAGAGAUGGAGCAGCAUGUGAGCCCCCCAGUGAUCUGAGACACCAACAACCUCUUACAGUCAACCAGUCAAGCUUUGUCAAAUGCUCAAACACCUCUUCUGAAGGAAGUGCAGUUAAUGCCAUAUUAUAUUCCAGUAUUAACGUUGUCAAUGAAGUGAGGCCACCAAGGCAAAUAGCUAAAGCUUCAUCUGUAAUACUGCAUGAAGAAAGAUAAAGUUCACGUAUUCCUGAUGGUAGAACCAGUGGCAGCUCCAUGGUCCUUCCAUAAAUGACUGUUAUCCUCUGCUCAUGGCAAAAAAGCCAUGCCUUGAUCAUAUUUUCUUUCUCCAAUAUUAUAUCAACUCCUUCCUCUAGGCCACUUUCAAUAAUUUGAAGAUGUUGUGAUAUAUCAUCACCCAUCUGCGUUGUCAACUGCUUCAGGGAUGAAUAGUCCUCUGCAAGUACUUCCCUAAUAUUUGAUCCUGAAUUGACCUCCCACAUUGAUGCAAGUUUAGAUGCCAGGUCCUCUGUCUUCAUUAUAUUUCCCCUCAAAUCAUGCUGGUUGAGCUCAUUUUUAGACACAAACAUAAGCAGUGGGCACGUCUGAAUUGACAAUUUUGUAAGCAUUGCUGGAAGACAAGGUAAUACCUUCAAUUUUAGAACAUUUGUUAGGGACAGCCUAGUGCACUGCCGUAGGAGCUCAGUAUUAGGGGGUAGGCCUUCUAACAAAGUGCAGCCAUUAAGCUUAAAACAUUCCAAAUUUUCAAAAUAGGAUGGCUCGAGUAACCACCUUUGGAUAUGUGUCAGAUUUGUAGCCUUUGAUUGUGACGACACGAAGUUGGGGCGACGGUCUCAGACCUUCUAGAAUAUCCAAAUGUAAAGUAUCUGCUGCAUCCAUUCCAUUCUCGCUACUCCAGGCAAGCUGCAACUUUUUAAGGCGAUUCUUCUGAUAUAGCAUGGACUCUAAGGCUUCUUCCUUUUCUGAAACAUUCUCAAGAUUUUGUACUCUUAAACUGCCACCAAGCUCAUUCAAGCCCUUCAGCUGCCACAACUCGUAUCCUUGCUUCUUUUGCACAAAAAAGGUAUGGAUGUGUUGUAGCGAAGUUAGCUUGCCUAUAUUGGGAAUUUGAUGAAUAGAUUUUUCAAUCAAGGCACGUGGGUACUCCGUGUACACCCCCAUAUGUCGUAACUUACUUAAGUUGCUAAGCUUGUCAGGCAACCUGUCCACCAUUGGGCUUAACUGAAGUAGCUGCAAGUGGUAAAGAGUACAUAAUGAUCUAGGCAAUUCAGAAAUUAACGUUCUGAUAAGGUUCAAAUACCGAAGGUGCUUCAGCCUACCAAUAGAUUCAGGCAACUUACUACUGUUGUAGAAUGACAAAUACAAUACACGUAACUUCUUCUGGUUCUGCAGCAUCUGAUCAAAAAUAUCGCUUGCAUCAUCCAUUAGUGGAUCAAUGCAGAUGAUAGUGCGUAAAUGCUGUAGCUUGUAGAUAAUUUGCUUAUGCUUUUGCAAACUCUGAACCUGAAGAGAGAGAUGUCGAACAGUGCAUGGUACUUCUCUGAUAUUAUCCUCUUCUAAUCUGAAGCAGUCUUCUACAGAGAGUGACUGUGCCAAAUCAUGAAGGAUGUCGUGCAUGAUAUAGUAUGAAUAACACUCUGUUUCAGAAACCAAUUGAAAGAAAGACCCAAAGAGCAUCUCAUUGAAAUAAUCCCUCCCGACAUCUUCCAUUGUCAUGCUACUCAAAUUACAUGAACCAACAAGCCCUUCUGCCACCCAAAGGUGAACCAACUCAUCAGGUUUAUAUUUAUGACCUUUUGGGAAUAAGCUGCAAUACAAGAAGCACCUCUGCAGACGUGGAUCUAACUUCUUGUAACUCCACAAGAGAACUGUGAAGGGCUCACUUAAAUCUCUGAGCUUUAGAGCACCUUUCCAUUCAGCAGUAUCUUUUUUUGUGCUCAACCGGGAACCAAGAACUUUUGCUGCCAAAGGACAUUGUCCAAGCCUUUUAGCAAUCUCCACUGCAGUAUGUUCCAGAUUAUUGUGCAAAAGUUCAUCUCCAAUUUUUGCUCCAGAGAAAGCAUGGUGUUUGAAGAGUGCCAAGAAAUUGGCAUCAUCCAAUUUUUCCAAAUGAACAACUUGUUGUUGAUCACAGAAAACAGCGGCCGGAAGUGUUUCACGCCGAGAAGUCACCAAAACUUUGCUUCCCAUCUGUUUAGAGACGAAUGGAUCCAGGAGCUGAAACCACUCUGUCUCGCUGUCUGAUUUUUCGAACCAAACAUCAUCCAAGACAAGUAGGAAUUUCUCUGACUUCUGCAGUAUGUCACGUAAUUUGCACUGGAGAGUAUCAAGAUUAUUAAUACAUGGGCACUCCCCAUUUGUUGCAGACUCAAUAAUCUCCCUUGUGUGACGACGGACAUCAAGCUUGCGUGAGAUGCAGACCCACAUUGUCGACGAAAGCUAGUCGGCAGUCUACCUUGGGGUAUACCCACGGUAGUAGUUUAUCGGUAGACGGUGCGCAAACUACGAACUCGAUGGUGACGCAAGACACGGACAAGCUUUUUAUCCAGGUUCGGCCGCCGAGUUGGCGUAAUACCUACGUCCUGCGUCUGGUUGUAUUGGAUUGUGUUGAGAGAUAAUCUGUCCUAGGGGGUCCCUUGCCCCUCUUUAUAUAGUCUGGAGGGCAGGGUUACAGAUCUAGAAACUAAUCCUAGUCGGUUACAAUUGCCAUGGAUAAUUCGAUAUCAAUUCCUAUUCUAACCGACUAGAAUCCUGCUUGAUCUCCACGUCUUGUUUCCUUGCGCGAAACUCGGGCUGUCGGAUCAAGCCUUGAACUCGUCUCGUAGUGGGCCAAGCUUCCUGGCUGAAGUCUAGCCGUAAGGGUAUAGGGGUUUAUACCCCCACAGCUAGUCCCCGAGCGCCAUGUAUUGUGAUGCAACACGCCGUCUUGAGCUUCUUCGACCAGCGAGGCCUGUCGUCUUCAAUGAGCGGGGAAAUCGCCCAAACAGUUGCAACGGUAUUUUGACCAACUCAAAAGACAGUUGAUCAACAUUGACAUCGAAGAAGCAGGUUGUUCGAAGAAUGCAUGGUGCUCUUAAUUAAAAAAGAUUUCUUUCCUGGUGAAGUGUGCCCACUUUACUUUUCUGAAUAGUAUAGUCUUUCAAAAAGCAAGCAUAUUCACCGCAAGGUGAAGUGUGCCCACUUAGUCCCCGAGCCUGGUAGUAGGUGACGUAGGCACGUGGUGCCAGGGUCAAAAGAAAAGUCCUCAAAGAAAUUCUGAAACUGAGAUGCAUCGCCAGAUGCAUCGUACCGAUGUAGUCCCCGAGCUUGCUGGAAGGCGAAGUAUGAGCCUUGUAGCAAGGUCUAAAAAAUUGAAUUUACCAGUCCCCGAGCAUAUCAUGCUCGUAUGCAAUUGAAUAGACUAAUCGACCAGUCCCCGAGCAUAGAACGCUCGGUGGUCGGUACAGUCUCCGAAUUCUCAAAUUGGUGGGCUGGUCGACCAGUCCCCGAGCGUAUAGUGCUCGGUGGUCGGUGCAGUCCCCAAGUUCUUAAAUUGGUGAGCUGGUCGACCAGUCCCCGAGCGUAUAGUGCUCGGUGGUCGGCACAGUCCCCGAGCACGGCGUAGGGACCGGUGGACAAGUCCCCGAGCGUGGUUGGGAACGUAAACGUGCUCGGUGGUCGGCACAGUCUUCGAGCAUAGCAUAGAGAGUAGUCGACAAGUCCCCGAGCGUGGUUGGGAACGUAAACGUGCUCGGUGGUCGGAGCAGUCCCCGGGCACGGCGUAGGGAAUAGUCGACGAGUCCCCGAGCGUAGCUUGUCGACUGGGCCAAACUCCUGAAAAAUAAAUAUAGAGAAAAUAGGUAGUACAUGAUGUAUAAAUAAACUCUAGAUAAAAAAUCAGCACUGAGAUAAGUUUUAGACUUUUUAUUAUAAAAUUAGCACGAGUAGUUAAUUCAUCCUAGAGCUUGUACCAGCUCUGGUCUAGCCAACAAUCAGCAUGAGGUGCGGAACCUAGACACGCGUGGGAUUGCCAGCCUCGCCAGAGAGCUACUGCCGACCACCCGGAACGCAGAGGGCGGAUCUCGUGCACGUGUAGGGAGGAGUCGGAGACAGUACCGGCUCUGGAAAGCUCGUGUAGGAGAAAAAACUAGUGUGGCUAAACAAAAAGUUGUUUUUGAAGGAUAAUAAAAAAUAUUAUGCCAAAAAUAAAUAAGAUAUUAGAAGUGUACUUAUCUUUGGAUGAAAGUCUGGUCGGUGACGACCAAAUUGUCUGGCCCUCGAGCUUUUGGACUUGUUAUCGUGACGGUGGUCGCGGUUGUCGUAGCGCCGUUCUUCGCGGCGAUUAUUAUUGCGACUGGUGGUCAGAGCCAGUAGGCCAAACAACUUGGUCGUUAGCCCGAGCAGAUCGAUGUCGUCGAUCUGCCUCUCUUUGUAGUAGGGAAGCAGGUGACGCAUUGUCGGCGUGGUCGGAGACGCUGCUGGUGUGGUCGAAGUCGUAGCCAGCGUGGUUGGAGCUGCAGCCGACGUCGGUGAAGAAGUGAUCGGCACAGAUUGGAUCUACGCCUCCUUCGCGGUCGUGGUGGUGAAGCUGUUGAAGCUGACGGUGAACGUGAAGCCGCCCGCCAUGGCCACGAAGUUUGGGAUGAUAGCCAUCUUGUUCGUCUAGGAGAGCUGUACGCACACCCCCUACCUGGCGCGCCACUGUCGACGAAAGCUAGUCGGCAGUCUACCUUGGGGUAUACCCACGGUAGUAGUUUAUCGGUAGACGGUGCGCAAACUACGAACUCGAUGGUGACGCAAGACACGGACAAGCUUUUUAUCCAGGUUCGGCCGCCGAGUUGGCGUAAUACCUACGUCCUGCGUCUGGUUGUAUUGGAUUGUGUUGAGAGAUAAUCUGUCCUAGGGGGUCCCUUGCCCCUCCUUAUAUAGUCUGGAGGGCAGGGUUACAGAUCUAGAAACUAAUCCUAGUCGGUUACAAUUGCCAUGGAUAAUUCGAUAUCAAUUCCUAUUCUAACCGACUAGAAUCCUGCUUGAUCUCCACGUCUUGUUUCCUUGCGCGAAACUCGGGCUGUCGGAUCAAGCCUUGAACUCGUCUCGUAGUGGGCCAAGCUUCCUGGCUGAAGUCUAGCCGUAAGGGUAUAGGGGUUUAUACCCCCACACACAUCCUGAUAUCAAAGCCUUCUUCUAUCCUCUUGUCAUUGUAGACAUACUGCACUAAGGUGGACUUCCCCAUUCCGCCGGCACCAAUAAUGGCCAAACUUGAGUACCUAGUCGAACUUGCCUCGUCAGCUGCUGUCUUGCCAAGAAGAAAAUCUACUAUACGAUCGCGAUCCUUGUCACGACCGAAAACCUUUGAUGUGGAAAGUGAUGUCACUGUGGUUGGAGGAACAAUGGUUGCUGGUACAUUUGGCCACCCUAAACCUGUAGUAUUUCCAGGUGCUAUGCUAAGAAGAUCCCGAAGCUCCUUGGCUUCUGUUAGGAUAGCUUUGAUCUCAUUCAUCUUGCUAAUUAGCCUUCUAUUCUCAGGGAGCAAGUUGCGUGCCUUGCUCUUAGCAGUAUGAAAAGGCUUCAUGAUUGUUGAUGCAAUGGAGGAUGUUUCAUCCUCUCCUAGCAGGGGAUCUUUUCCGCUCUUGGCCUUGCGCUUGAGGAGAUUGUACUCAUGCUCGUCCAGCAGGUCCUCAGCAUCAUAAAAGGCUUCUUUGAGCCGCCGAAGCCAUGCCUCGAGCUUGCCCUUAUGGGGGCUCUUCUCUGCUGCUUGAAUCACCAGAUCAAAUUGUGGCAGGACGGUGGCUUCUAGUUUUUGGAGCUCACGCACCAUGUCCACACUGAGGUAAGCUGAAGCUUCGUUAAGAAGCUUGUUGAAAAUGGGCGAUGCUGCCCACCUUAACCCAGCGAGUGCCAAGUCUGCCAUGGAAUUGGAGUGGUUUGUGCUUCUCCUUUGUGGGUGUGGACUGGAGAGAUCUUGGAUGAAUAUUUCCAGGUGAAAAGAAGAGGACAAUUGAUUGGCAAUGGCACGAAAUGAUUGUGUUUUUCUUGGAAAUGUAAAUGAUGGGAAACAAGCAAAGAGUACAAUUAAUAUCUUUUUUCCUUCCUUUUUUGGGGUUUUCUAUUUUUUCUUUCUUUUUUUUUGUCGUAGGAGUGAAAUGAAUAAGUUGAAGAUGCAGGGUGCAAGGGUCUGGUGGCGAAGAGAAAGAUUAAACAGGAAAAGAAAGAUAAAUGGAUGGACAAUGGAAACUGUUUUCUUUUUUAUGUAUGGACGAGGUGCUUCUGCAGAAGGCAAGUUACUGAUAAGGACAACAACGGAAUGAAGAAAACCUGGAAUUAAGAAGACGCAUAGAAUUAGUGAUUCUGAUUGGGAAAAUGGAAGACAAAUUGAUUAUUUUUCUUUCUCAUGUGCUACAGCACACAGAAUGAAAUAGCUACUAACAAGUUAACACAACAAACUAAGGAGAUUGGUGAUCUUACAUGGUUUUGCGGGAUGAAGUUACACCAAGUAAAAAAAAUCAAGGGCGCUGGGAGCAGAGUUGCUGGAGCUAGUGUCGACAACGAGCACGAGGUGGCCGAAGUGGUGGACGGGACUCUGGAACAAGCACUGCACUUCAAGAGAACAAACAGGCAGCCAGCCAAGAAUAAGGUAUACACGCUGGCAGCGAAGGAGGGAAAGGAAGAAGCAAGGAACAAUACCGGAAAAGCUUGGCAGUGCUGAUUCCUAGUGAUGAUCUUUUUUUUUAACAGAUUGCUGGUGAUGAUCUGUUCUGUAGUCUCACGGUGAGGACACCGAUGGUGCUGCUGGCCUUCUGCUGCUUGCUGGAAAAAGGAAGAAGCAAGGAAAUUGGAAGGUGGAGAAAGAGGAGUAGACAAGGUCUAUCGAUUGGGACUUCUCUGAAAUAGGAGUUUGUUGGGACCUGCAUUUGGUGUGAAGUACUAGUCAGCAUAAACACAGACAAAGGAAGCUUCUGGGUAGCUUCACUAGGUUUCUAUCCUUGAGAAAGGAACGGUUCAACCGUAUCCCCCCUUGCAAUAAAUGAGUGAAGGCGAACACAGAGUAGACAAGGUCUAUGAAUUCAUCAAAAACGUUAUCAGCAGUUUUGCAACUCAAACACUGCCUAAACAACUCGUAGGAAAACACAGCCCAAAUGAAAAGCAAGGCGCACAUACGGCCACCUCACCUGUAUCCAGGAAACGGUGGAAUGUGGUCACCUCUCACAUGGAAAAUCACAUAAGAUGAUUUUUUUUAUUCCAUAACCCAUAUAAGAACUGAUCAAAACACAAAAGGAUAGACAAAUUUUGACUGACCACUGACCAGUCUCUUGCACUAGUACUGCUGCUUCUUUGUGAAAGGAAUCAGCCUUGACGCCUAUGCUACUGCUCGUCGGUGCUGCUGUACUAGGGCUGUGGUGCCUGUGUCGCCUCUCCUCCCCUUCCUGAAUCCUCUGCCGUGGUCGGUUCCUGCCUUGAGCACGGCCGGCACGCCCCGCAGCUUCCGCAGUAAAAGUAAUCUCCGAGGUGGCGAGACCUAACUCCGGCAACACCGGCGACAUGGAGGGUUCAGCGUUCGGCCGUCUUGUGCGGUGCCGGCGCUGGAACACGACACAGGAGAAUGGCCGAACGGCGGACGGGGAAAUGCUGAACAGAACAGGAACGGAUAUUGCGGUAUUGGACUGGGUAAGUAACUCAUCUAUUUGGGCCGCCCCACAUCGUCUUCAUCGCUCGUUUGAAGUUAGAGCAGCAGGAACAACGGCUGCACAGUCCCCUUCUUCUGCUUGAAUAAGGCUAUUCCAACAGGAGACCCAAAUGUAAAAUCUCUACUAUAAUGGAUCAAUUAGAAUUAUAUUAGAUCCCCAAGUAAAACCUUUUCCACUGAGAGCCUUCAACCAUUGUGCACCUAGUAAAAUUAAAAUGUACACAGUAAAUUGUCUCUGUUAAAAUCAAGGGCUACAAAAUAAUUGCUCAUAGACCUCAACUCAAUCUGAUGGCCAUGAUCACUUCCAGGCUUCAACGCGACUCCCAGGCUUCAACACGCUCGCGUCCCUCGACGCACGGCCUCCACCUCCCCAAGCGUGACAGGCAGGAUUCGAUCCCUGCUACCGUUCCCGGCGGCGAGGUGGCACGGGAUCGACGGAGGAACUAGGGGCUGCGGCUGAGGGCUUGGCUCCUGCAGAGCUUCGGUGGCUGUGAAGGUCGACGACAGACCCCGGCUAGGGGCGGUAGCGGCAGCGGAGGCGCGGUCACAGCGACCCGGCCGGCGGCGGAGGAAGGCGAGACGGACACAUUGGUGGGAUUGGUUGGGUGCAGUUGCGAGGUCUCGGAGGAGCUGCUGCUCACGCUGGUGGAAAGCUAGGUAGUCUUGAGAUAGCACACUACGCGCACGGGGUGUUCGUGCAAAUGCUUGGCACGGCCUUGUCAAAUCCUUUGCUCCCCUCCGACGUUGCUGCCAUGGACUCCACGUUGGCACCUGAAAUGGCCCCGAUGCCUCCUAUUCCGCCGCCGCCGUUGUCCCGACCGCCGAGGAUCUCGUGGGGGCGUGGCAGUGAUGACCUUGGAUGAGCAGUUCCAAUCUGUUGCGGGGAUUAGGGAGAGAAGUGCAUCCAGGAGGACGAGUUCAGGCGCCUGCUUGAUAACAAGCCUGUCCCCAUCUACUACAAUGGCUUCGAGCCUUUAGAGGCAUGCACAUCGCACAGGUUUGACCUUCUGUCUUCAGCCCCUGCCUCCAGGGCAUCAUUACUACAAAAAAUGAUAAGUUUGCAUGACUGAGCUAAAGAUAGAUUUGGCUGCAUCGCCGUUCUAAUUUUUUAAUAGCAUGUAGAAAGAGACCAUCGUUUAUAAUGGCACACAAGGAAAAAGCUCAAAUAAAUUGUGUGGAGGUUCAAUGAAGCUACAAAAAAUAUAAAAGAACAUAGAGACCACAUGACAGAUCAUUUACAAAGGGAUAUCAAAUACCAGCAACAAGAACAAGAGAACGGAAGCACAUUUUUGAAUUUAGAAACACGUGAUAGCAACUGUUUAUUUUUUCUUUUUAAUUAAAAAAGAUAAAGGAAAGAAAUAUUCCAGACUCCAGUUCGCCUCACGAAAAAUAAAAACCAUAGCCACAUUUUGUAUCAUCAUAAGUUAUUUAUUAGAGACUCAUUCUAUCAUAGGAAUACAUGUAAGCAAUUAUUUAUGGGCGUUGCUAAGGUAUAACUCUUACCUAGUAAGAGGUAAGAGUUCAAAUAAAUCCGAGACGUUGAAUAUUAGAAGAAAUAAAGUAAGUAGUAAAAAGAAAAAUAAAUAACAUAUUGUUUCCGUUUAUUUACAUGUCUACAUGCAAUUUGUUUCCUUUUGAUUGCAACCAACGACUACAACUUCAUGGAAGACCAUCGGGCAAGAUGGUUUUUAGUCAAAAUUCAACUUUCCAAGACAUGCUAUUUUACGUUUCUUAUUAAUUGGGCAUGGUCACGUUACAACUUAAAAAAAUAUUACAUUACAAUCAUGUACACUAUGGAUUGAAUAAGCUUUACCUUUUUAUAAUGUCGAAAACAAAAUGAAUUUAAAUUUCUCAUCGUCACGUUCCAACAAAUUAAUUAAAUAAAUUUUACAAAAUCAUUUUGGGUUAGCUAUUAUAAAUCAUUGUGUUAUUAUAUACACAAUAAAAUAAAAUGGUUGCGCAUGUGUGAACUAUGUCCCCCCAUCGUGUGUCCAUGUCCAUGUUAUUAAAAACCUAAGAUCAUGUUAGGAAAGUAAGAUCAUGCAUGCAUAUUAUAUACAUAAUACGAAGGUAUUUUCCUUCUGAGGUAAUAUUUGACAAUUGCUAUUCAGAUCGACGGUUCAUAGUUUUUUAGAUGUACCAUAGCAAGGCCCAUUAUUCAUAAUCAAGGAAUAACAGUACAAGUGAAAUGAUAUAAAUGGAACCACCUGCGUUCCUCGCAAGUACCAACCGUGGACUGUGGAGGGUCGCCAAACAGAGAACCAAGGGGACGGCAUCACCAACAGAUCGGCUUCUGAUCGACUUCAGCUGGGUGGUGAGUCUGCAGAGACGAGGGCGCAGCGGCGUUGGGGUCACCACGAGGUGUCUGUUUAGAGCAUGGAAUGAAAUGUUUUAAAUAAAAUAUUGGAGACCUUAUUCAUUGUGCUGGAGAAUGAAUCAGUGGAACAUGCUAUACCUUCUCUCAUUUCUUUCAAGUGGCAAUAUUAAUCGAAGUGCUUCCAGCGGAUGUGUGAAAUCUGUGGCCAGCUUUCUCCAUCAGGCUCUCGGCAGUUCUUCCUCAAGUCGUCACAACCAUAUAGACUUAUGCGCUGGAGGGAGGAUGGAAGAACUGGUAAAGAUGUUAUGUUGGGGCAAUGGCGGAUAUCAAGACUCUCCAGACUUGAGAGAAAUUUUAGAUUUCCUGGCAGGAACUCCAUUUUGCAUUGCCAAAAGUACAGGUGCUUGACAGAUAAGAGAUUUGCACAUUCUCCAAAGGAAGCUGACGCCUCGUUGCAAUAACGAAGAAUAAGGUUCGGUGGGACUAUAAACCCUUCAGCCUUGAGCAUCAAGUUGAGCAGUACGAAACUACUAACGACGAGCAAUUGCUGGACACGAAACUGUGAGAUGCACUUGGUAGUAAGGUUUGGAACAUCUAUCAAACUUAGGUAUUGAAGUUGCCAGGAAGACAAGCCUUCAAGAGAGCACAGAUCGGGGAGAUGAAUUAGAUCUAAUGAUUCAAGGGAGGUCAGGUGGCCAAUCGAUAAGGACGGGGAGGUUCUGCAACACAUAAUGAUAAGAGAUUUCAGGUGUGCCAAGCCAUUAAUGAAUGAAUCAGCUGCAAGAAUGCAGCCACAUAUGUGGAGCUCUCCAGCAAGGUUGAAUGACAUAAAUUCUGCUCCACGUGCCAGAUCUAAAGAAGGGCAAUCAAUACAAUAAAAUCUGGAAAGAUAUGGAGCAGCACUUAAGCCCCCCAGUGAUCUGAGACACCAACAACCUCUUAUAGUCAACCAGUCAAGCUUGAUCAAAUGCUCAAACACCUCUUCUGAUGGAAGUGCAGAUAAUGCCAUAUUAUAUUCCAGUCUUAACCUUGUAAAUGAAGUGAGGCCACCAAGGCAAAUAGCUAAAGCUUCAUCUGCAUGAAGAAAGAACAAGACCAACAAGUCCAAAUGGUACAACCAGUGGCAGCUCCAUGGUCCUUCCAUAAAGGACUCUUAUCCUCUGCUCAUGGCAAAAAAGCCAUGCCUUGAUCAUAUUUUCUUUGUCUGAUAUUAUAUCUCCUCCUUCCUCUAGGCCACUUUCAAUAAUUUGAAGAUGUUGUGAUAUAUCAUCACCCAUCUGCGUUGUCAACUGCUUCAGGGAUGAAUAGUCCUCUACAAGUACUUCCGUAAUAUUAAAUCCUGAAUUGACCUCCCACAUUGAUGCAAGUUUAGAUGCCAGGUCCUCUGUCUUCAUUAUAUUUCCCCUCGAACCAUGCUGGUCGAGCUCAUUUUUGGAGACAAACAUAAGCAGUGGGCACGUCUGAAUUGACAAUUUUGUAAGCAUUGCUGGAAGACAAGGUAAUAUUUUCAAUUUUGGAACAUUUUCUAGCGGAUGUGUGAAAUCUGCAACGGAUUGGCAAUUUUCAAUUUUGACAAUUUUGGAAUAUUUUCCACCUGCCUCGCAAGUCCCAACUGUGGACUGUGCACAGUCACCAAACAGAGAACCGAGGGGACAGCAUCUGCAACGGAUUGGCUUCUGACUUGAACUGGGUGGCGAGUCAGUGUCGUGUUGUGCUUGUGCCAGGGUGACCUUGAGGUCGAGGUGCCUGUUUACAACAUGAAAUGUUUUUAAAAUAUAAAAUAUUGGAAACCUUAUUCAUUGUGCUGGAUAAUGAAUCAGCAGAACCUAUACCUCCUCAUUUCGUUGAAGAUCAUUCAUAGAAGUGCUUCCAGCGGAUGUGUGAAAUCUGUGGCCAGCUUUCUCCAUCAGGCUCUCGGCAGUUCUUCUUCAAGUCGUCACAACCAUAUAUAGUUAUGCGCUGGAGGGAGGAUGGCAGAACUGGUAAAGAUGUUAUGUUGGGGCAAAUGCCGAUAUCAAGACUCUCCAGACUGGAGAGAAAUUUUAGAUUUCCUGGCAGGGACUCCAUUUUGCAAUCCCAAAUGUCCAGGUGCUUGACAGAUAAGAGAUUUGCACAUUCUCCAAAUGAAGCUGACGGCUCCUUGCAAACAUGAAGACCAAGAUUUGGUGGGACUAUAAACCCUUCAGCCUUGAGCAUCUGGUUGAGCAGUACGAAACUACUAACGCUGAGCCAUUUCUGGACACGAAACUGUGAGAUGCACUUGGCAGUGAGGUUUGGAACAUCUAUCAAACUUAGGCUAUCAAGUUGCCAGGAAGACAAGCCUUCAAGAGAGCACAGAUCGGGGAGACGAAGUAGAGAUAAUGAUUCAAGGGAGGUCAGGUGGCCAAUCGAUAAGGACGGGAAGCUUCUGCAACAUGCAAUGGAAAGAGAUUUCAGGUGUGGCAAGCCAUUAAUGAACGAAUCGGCUGCCAGAAUGCAGCCACAUAUGUAGAGGUCUCCAGCAAGGUUGAAUGACAUAGAUUCUGCUGCACCUGCCAGAUCUAAAGAAGGGCAAUCAAUACAAUAAAGUCUGGAAAGAGAUGGAGCAGCAUGUGAGCCCCCCAGUGAUCUGAGACACCAACAACCUCUUACAGCCAACAAGUCAAGCUUUGUCAAAUGCUCAAACACCUCUUCUGAAGGAAGUGCAGUUAAUGCCAUAUUAUAUUCCAGCAUUAACGUUGUCAAUGAAGUGAGGCCACCAAGGCAAAUAGCUAAAGCUUCAUCUGUAAUACUGCAUGAAGAAAGAUAAAGUUCACGUAUUCCUGAUGGUAGAACCAGUGGCAGCUCCAUGGUCCUUCCAUAAAUGACUGUUAUCCUCUGCUCAUGGCAAAAAAGCCAUGCCUUGAUCAUAUUUUCUUUCUCCAAUAUUAUAUCUCCUCCUUCCUCUAGGCCACUUUCAAUAAUUUGAAGAUGUUGUGAUAUAUCAUCACCCAUCUGCGUUGUCAACUGCUUCAGGGAUGAAUAGUCCUCUGCAAGUACUUCCCUAAUAUUUGAUCCUGAAUUGACCUCCCACAUUGAUGCAAGUUUAGAUGCCAGGUCCUCUGUCUUCAUUAUAUUUUCCCUCAAAUCAUGCUGGUCGAGCUCAUUUUUGGAGACAAACAUAAGCAGUGGGCACGUCUCAAUUGACAAUUUUGUAAGCAUUGCUGGAAGACAAGAUAAAAUCUUCAAUUUUGGAACAUUUUUUAGACACAGCCUAGUGCAAUGCCGUAGGAGCUCAGUAUUAGGUGGUAGGCCUUCUAACAAAGUGCAGCAAUUAAGCUUUAAACAUUCCAAAUUUUCAAAAUAGGAUGGCUCAAGUAACCACCUUGGAUAUGUGCCAGAUUUGUAGCCUUUGAUUGUGAGGCCACUAAGUUGGGGUGACGGUCUCAGACCUUCUAGAACAUCCAGAUGUAAAGUAUCCACUGCAUCCAUUCCCUUCUCGCUACUCCAGGCAAGCCGCAACUUUUUAAGGCGAUUCUUCUUAUAGAGCAUGGACUCUAAGGCUUCUUCUUUUUCUGAAACAUUCUCAAGAUUUUCUACUUUUAAACUGCCACCAAGCUCAUUCAAGUCCUUCAGCUGCCACAACUCGUAUCCUUGCUUCUUUUGCACAGAAAAGGUAUGCAUGUGUUGUAGCGAAAUUAGCUUGCCUAUAUUGGGAAUUUGAUGAAUAGAUUUUUCCAUCAAGGCAUGUGGGUACUCCUUGUACGCCCCCAUAUGUCGCAACUUACUUAAGUUGCAAAGCUUGUCAGGCAACCUCUCCACCGUUAGGCUUAACUGAAGUAACUGCAAGUGGUAAAGAGUACAUAAUGAUCUAGGCAAUUCAGAAAUUAACGUUCUGAUAAGGUUCAAAUACCGAAGGUGCUUCAGCCUACCAAUAGAUUCAGGCAACUUACUACUGUUGUAAAAUGACAAAUACAAUACACGUAACUUCUUCUGGUUCCGCAGCAUCUGAUCAAAAAUAUCGCUUGCAUCAUCCAUUAGUGGAUCAAUGCAGAUGAUAGUGCGUAAAUUCUGUAGCUUGUAGAUAAUUUGCUUAUGCUUUUGCAAACUCUCAACCUGAAGAGAGAGAUGUCGAACAGUGCAUGGUACUUCUCUGAUAUUAUCCUCUUCUAAUCUGAAGCAGUCUUCUACAGAGAGUGACUGUGCCAAAUCAUGAAGGAUGUCGUGCAUGAUAUAGUAUGAAUAAUACUCUGUUUCAGAAACCAAUUGAAAGAAAGACCCAGAGAGCAUCUCAUUGAAAUAAUCCCUCCCGACAUCUUCUAUUGUCAUGCUACUCAAAUUACAUGAACCAACAAGCCCUUCUGCCACCCAAAGGUGAACCAACUCAUCAGGUUUAUAUUUAUGACCUUUUGGGAAUAAGCUGCAAUACAAGAAGCACCUCUGCAGACGUGGAUCUAACUUCUUGUAACUCCACAAGAGAACUGUGAAGGGCUCACUUAAAUCUCUGAGCUUUAGAGCACCUUUCCAUUCAGCAGUAUCUUUUUUUGUGCUCAACCGGGAACCAAGAACUUUUGCUGCCAAAGGACAUUGUCCAAGCCUUUUAGCAAUCUCCACUGCAGUAUGUUCCAGCUUAUUGUGCAAAAGUUGAUCUCCAAUUUUUGCUCCAGAGAAAGCAUGGUGUUUGAAGAGUGCCAAGAAAUUGGCAUCAUCCAUUUUUUCCAAAUGAACAACUUGUUGUUGAUCACAGAAAACAGCGGCCGGAAGUGUUUCACGCCGAGAAGUCACCAAAACUUUGCUUCCCAUCUGUUUAGAGACAAAUGGAUCCAGGAGCUGAAACCACUCUGUCUCGCUGUCUGAUUUUUCGAACCAAACAUCAUCCAAGACAAGUAGGAAUUUCUGUGACUUCUGCAGUAUGUCACGUAAUUUGCACUGGAGAGUAUCAAGAUUAUCAAUACAUGGGCACUCCCCAUUUGUUGCAGACUCAAUAAUCUCCCUUGUGUGACGACGGACAUCAAGCUUGCGUGAGAUGCAGACCCACAUCCUGAUAUCAAAGCCUUCUUCUAUCCUCUUGUCAUUGUAGACAUACUGCACUAAGGUGGACUUCCCCAUUCCGCCCGCACCAAUAAUGGCCAAACUGGAGUACCUAGUCGAACUUGCCUCGUCAGCUGCUGUCUUGCCAAGAAGAAAAUCUAAUAUACGAUCGCGAUCCUUGUCACGACCGAAAACCUUUGAUGUGGAAAGUGAUGUCACUGUGGUUGGAGGAACAAUGGUUGCUGGUACAGCUGGCCACCCUAAACCUGUAGUAUUUCCAGGUGCUAUGCUAAGAAGAUCCCGAAGCUCCUUGGCUUCUGUUAGGAUAGCUUUGAUCUCAUUCAUCUUGCUAAUUAGCCUUCUAUUCUCAGGGAGCAAGUUGCGUGCCUUGCUCUUAGCAGUAUGAAAAGGCUUCAUGAUUGUUGAUGCAAUGGAGGAGGUUUCAUCCUCUCCUAGCAGGGGAUCUUUUCCGCUCUUGGCCUUGCGCUUGAGGAGAUUGUACUCAUGCUCGUCCAGCAGGUCCUCAGCAUCAUAAAAGGCUUCUUUGAGCCGCCGAAGCCAUGCCUCGAGCUUGCCCUUAUGGGGGCUCUUCUCUGCUGCUUGAAUCACCAGAUCAAAUUGUGGCAGGACGGUGGCUUCUAGUUUUUGGAGCUCACGCACCAUGUCCACACUGAGGUAAGCUGAAGCUUCGUUAAGAAGCUUGUUGAAAAUGGGCGAUGCUGCCCACCUUAACCCAGCGAGUGCCAAGUCUGCCAUGGAAUUGGAGUGGUUUGUGCUUCUCCUUUGUGGGUGUGGACUGGAGAGAUCUUGGAUGAAUAUUUCCAGGUGAAAAGAAGAGGACAAUUGAUUGGCAAUGGCACGAAAUGAUUGUGUUUUUCUUGGAAAUGUAAAUGAUGGGAAACAAGCAAAGAGUACAAUUAAUAUCUUUUUUCCUUCCUUUUUUGGGGUUUUCUAUUUUUUCUUUCUUUUUUUUUGUCGUAGGAGUGAAAUGAAUAAGUUGAAGAUGCAGGGUGCAAGGGUCUGGUGGCGAAGAGAAAGAUUAAACAGGAAAAGAAAGAUGAAUGGAUGGACAAUGGAAGCUGUUUUCUUUUUUAUGUAUGGACGAGGUGCUUCUGCAGAAGGCAAGUUACUGAUAAGGACAACAACGGAAUGAAGAAAACCUGGAAUUAAGAAGACGCAUAGAAUUAGUGAUUCUGAUUGGGAAAAUGGAAGACAAAUUGAUUAUUUUUCUUUCUCAUGUGCUACAGCACACAGAAUGAAAUAGCUACUAACAAGUUAGCACAACAAACUAAGGAGAUUGGUGAUCUUACAUGGUUUUGCGGGAUGAAGUUACACCAAGUAAAAAAAAUCAAGGGCGCUGGGAGCAGAGUUGCUGGAGCCAGUGUUGACAAGGAGCACGAGGUGGCCGGAGUGGUGGACGGGACUCUGGAACAAGCACUGCACUUCAAGAGAACAAACAGGCAGUCAGCCAAGAAUAAGGUAUAUACGCUGGCAGCGAAGGAGGGAAAGGAAGAAGCAAGGAACAAUACCGGAAAAGCUUGGCAGUGCUGAUUCCUGGUGAUGAUCUUUUUAUUAAGAGAUUGCUGGUGAUGAUCUGUUCUGCAGUUUCACGGUGAGGACACCGAUGGUGCUGCUGGCCUUCUGCUGCUUGCUGGGAAAAGGAAGAAGAAAGGAAAUUGGAAGGUGGAGAAAGAGGAGUAGACAAGGUCUAUCGAUUGGGACUUCUCUGAAAUAGGAGUUUGUUGGGACCUGCAUUUGGUGUGAAGUACUAGUCAGCAUAAACACAGACAAAGGAAGCUUCUGGGUAGCUUCACUAGGUUUCUAUCCUUGAGAAAGGAACGGUUCAACCAUAUCCCCCCUUGCAAUAAAUGAAUGAAGGCGAACACAGAGUAGACAAGGUCUAUGAAUUCAUCAAAAACGUUAUCAGCAGUUUUGCAACUCAAACACUGCCUAAACAACUCGUAGGAAAACACAGCCCAAAUGAAAAGCAAGGCGCACAUACGGCCACCUCACCUGUAUCCAGGAAACGGUGGAAUGUGGUCACCUCUCACAUGGAAAAUCACAUAAGAUGAUUUUUUUUAUUCCAUAACCCAUAUAAGAACUGAUCAAAACACAAAAGGAUAGACAAAUUUUGACUGACCACUGACCAGUCUCUUGCACUAGUACUGCUGCUUCUUUGUGAAAGGAAUCAGCCUUGACGCCUAUGCUACUGCUCGUCGGUGCUGCUGUACUAGGGCUGUGGUGCCUGUGUCGCCUCUCCUCCCCUUCCUGAAUCCUCUGCCGUGGUCGGUUCCUGCCUUGAGCACGGCCGGCACGCCCCGCAGCUUCCGCAGUAAAAGUAAUCUCCGAGGUGGCGAGACCUAACUCCGGCAACACCGGCGACAUGGAGGGUUCAGCGUUCGGCCGUCUUGUGCGGUGCCGGCGCUGGAACACGACACAGGAGAAUGGCCGAACGGCGGACGGGGAAAUGCUGAACAGAACAGGAACGGAUAUUGCGGUAUUGGACUGGGUAAGUAACUCAUCUAUUUGGGCCGCCCCACAUCGUCUUCAUCGCUCGUUUGAAGUUAGAGCAGCAGGAACAACGGCUGCACAGUCCCCUUCUUCUGCUUGAAUAAGGCUAUUCCAACAGGAGACCCAAAUGUAAAAUCUCUACUAUAAUGGAUCAAUUAGAAUUAUAUUAGAUCCCCAAGUAAAACCUUUUCCACUGAGAGCCUUCAACCAUUGUGCACCUAGUAAAAUUAAAAUGUACACAGUAAAUUGUCUCUGUUAAAAUCAAGGGCUACAAAAUAAUUGCUCAUAGACCUCAACUCAAUCUGAUGGCCAUGAUCACUUCCAGGCUUCAACGCGACUCCCAGGCUUCAACACGCUCGCGUCCCUCGACGCACGGCCUCCACCUCCCCAAGCGUGACAGGCAGGAUUCGAUCCCUGCUACCGUUCCCGGCGGCGAGGUGGCACGGGAUCGACGGAGGAACUAGGGGCUGCGGCUGAGGGCUUGGCUCCUGCAGAGCUUCGGUGGCUGUGAAGGUCGACGACAGACCCCGGCUAGGGGCGGUAGCGGCAGCGGAGGCGCGGUCACAGCGACCCGGCCGGCGGCGGAGGAAGGCGAGACGGACACAUUGGUGGGAUUGGUUGGGUGCAGUUGCGAGGUCUCGGAGGAGCUGCUGCUCACGCUGGUGGAAAGCUAGGUAGUCUUGAGAUAGCACACUACGCGCACGGGGUGUUCGUGCAAAUGCUUGGCACGGCCUUGUCAAAUCCUUUGCUCCCCUCCGACGUUGCUGCCAUGGACUCCACGUUGGCACCUGAAAUGGCCCCGAUGCCUCCUAUUCCGCCGCCGCCGUUGUCCCGACCGCCGAGGAUCUCGUGGGGGCGUGGCAGUGAUGACCUUGGAUGAGCAGUUCCAAUCUGUUGCGGGGAUUAGGGAGAGAAGUGCAUCCAGGAGGACGAGUUCAGGCGCCUGCUUGAUAACAAGCCUGUCCCCAUCUACUACAAUGGCUUCGAGCCUUUAGAGGCAUGCACAUCGCACAGGUUUGACCUUCUGUCUUCAGCCCCUGCCUCCAGGGCAUCAUUACUACAAAAAAUGAUAAGUUUGCAUGACUGAGCUAAAGAUAGAUUUGGCUGCAUCGCCGUUCUAAUUUUUUAAUAGCAUGUAGAAAGAGACCAUCGUUUAUAAUGGCACACAAGGAAAAAGCUCAAAUAAAUUGUGUGGAGGUUCAAUGAAGCUACAAAAAAUAUAAAAGAACAUAGAGACCACAUGACAGAUCAUUUACAAAGGGAUAUCAAAUACCAGCAACAAGAACAAGAGAACGGAAGCACAUUUUUGAAUUUAGAAACACGUGAUAGCAACUGUUUAUUUUUUCUUUUUAAUUAAAAAAGAUAAAGGAAAGAAAUAUUCCAGACUCCAGUUCGCCUCACGAAAAAUAAAAACCAUAGCCACAUUUUGUAUCAUCAUAAGUUAUUUAUUAGAGACUCAUUCUAUCAUAGGAAUACAUGUAAGCAAUUAUUUAUGGGCGUUGCUAAGGUAUAACUCUUACCUAGUAAGAGGUAAGAGUUCAAAUAAAUCCGAGACGUUGAAUAUUAGAAGAAAUAAAGUAAGUAGUAAAAAGAAAAAUAAAUAACAUAUUGUUUCCGUUUAUUUACAUGUCUACAUGCAAUUUGUUUCCUUUUGAUUGCAACCAACGACUACAACUUCAUGGAAGACCAUCGGGCAAGAUGGUUUUUAGUCAAAAUUCAACUUUCCAAGACAUGCUAUUUUACGUUUCUUAUUAAUUGGGCAUGGUCACGUUACAACUUAAAAAAAUAUUACAUUACAAUCAUGUACACUAUGGAUUGAAUAAGCUUUACCUUUUUAUAAUGUCGAAAACAAAAUGAAUUUAAAUUUCUCAUCGUCACGUUCCAACAAAUUAAUUAAAUAAAUUUUACAAAAUCAUUUUGGGUUAGCUAUUAUAAAUCAUUGUGUUAUUAUAUACACAAUAAAAUAAAAUGGUUGCGCAUGUGUGAACUAUGUCCCCCCAUCGUGUGUCCAUGUCCAUGUUAUUAAAAACCUAAGAUCAUGUUAGGAAAGUAAGAUCAUGCAUGCAUAUUAUAUACAUAAUACGAAGGUAUUUUCCUUCUGAGGUAAUAUUUGACAAUUGCUAUUCAGAUCGACGGUUCAUAGUUUUUUAGAUGUACCAUAGCAAGGCCCAUUAUUCAUAAUCAAGGAAUAACAGUACAAGUGAAAUGAUAUAAAUGGAACCACCUGCGUUCCUCGCAAGUACCAACCGUGGACUGUGGAGGGUCGCCAAACAGAGAACCAAGGGGACGGCAUCACCAACAGAUCGGCUUCUGAUCGACUUCAGCUGGGUGGUGAGUCUGCAGAGACGAGGGCGCAGCGGCGUUGGGGUCACCACGAGGUGUCUGUUUAGAGCAUGGAAUGAAAUGUUUUAAAUAAAAUAUUGGAGACCUUAUUCAUUGUGCUGGAGAAUGAAUCAGUGGAACAUGCUAUACCUUCUCUCAUUUCUUUCAAGUGGCAAUAUUAAUCGAAGUGCUUCCAGCGGAUGUGUGAAAUCUGUGGCCAGCUUUCUCCAUCAGGCUCUCGGCAGUUCUUCCUCAAGUCGUCACAACCAUAUAGACUUAUGCGCUGGAGGGAGGAUGGAAGAACUGGUAAAGAUGUUAUGUUGGGGCAAUGGCGGAUAUCAAGACUCUCCAGACUUGAGAGAAAUUUUAGAUUUCCUGGCAGGAACUCCAUUUUGCAUUGCCAAAAGUACAGGUGCUUGACAGAUAAGAGAUUUGCACAUUCUCCAAAGGAAGCUGACGCCUCGUUGCAAUAACGAAGAAUAAGGUUCGGUGGGACUAUAAACCCUUCAGCCUUGAGCAUCAAGUUGAGCAGUACGAAACUACUAACGACGAGCAAUUGCUGGACACGAAACUGUGAGAUGCACUUGGUAGUAAGGUUUGGAACAUCUAUCAAACUUAGGUAUUGAAGUUGCCAGGAAGACAAGCCUUCAAGAGAGCACAGAUCGGGGAGAUGAAUUAGAUCUAAUGAUUCAAGGGAGGUCAGGUGGCCAAUCGAUAAGGACGGGGAGGUUCUGCAACACAUAAUGAUAAGAGAUUUCAGGUGUGCCAAGCCAUUAAUGAAUGAAUCAGCUGCAAGAAUGCAGCCACAUAUGUGGAGCUCUCCAGCAAG